CAAUAUACAGCAGACAUUUUGACUCAGAAGAGGAGCUUGUCAGUCAGAUUUCGAAGAGGUCUCUAAGACGAAUAGCGGGUAGAUAAAUCUUAAUUAAUUAGUACAUGGCUUUCUUUAAGUUGAAUUUUAAACAUGUCUACUUAACUUAGCUCCUAUACGUGCAGGGUGGCUUGACUAUGGAAGACUGGAAGCCGGAGGUCAAGCUGAGGACCUUCUUCAAAACUCACCGACUCCAUCUGUCUGCAGCCUGUGCAGAAAACCAACUUUUUGACUCUCUGUCAUCUACAACCACGUAGACCAAGAAGUCUCAAACUCAAGAGUCAAGAAAGUUCAGAGAACUUUCCCUGACCUUUUCCAUUGAAGAACAUAGACCGCUUGAGCACUGAAAUUUCUUAUGUGAUUCAAGAUUAGCACAAUGAAUGUUGCUUACACACCAGAGAGUGUUCGCCAGAUCUAAUGAAGCCAACAGCGACGUCAGUUGACGUUGGAUAAUCACCUCGAAUGGAAUGUUUAGAUGAAGAGUCAUCUUAGACUCA
rnacentral:lncRNA from 1 species